GCCUGAGUGGCUCAGUUGGUUGAGUGUCUGACUUCAGCUCAGGUCAUGAUCUCGUGGUUCAUGGGUUUGAGCCCUGUGUCAGGCU
rnacentral:tRNA from 1 species